GACGAACGCUGGCGGCGUGGAUUAGGCAUGCAAGUCGAACGGUAUCAUCCUUUCGGGGGUGAGAGAGUGGCGAACUGGUGAGUAACACGUAGGUGAUCUACCCUCAAGAUUGGGACAACCCAGGGAAACUUGGGCUAAUACCGGAUGAAAGCAGCAGUGAUGUUGUUUGAAAGGUGGCGUAAGCUGCCGUUUGGGGAUGAGCCUGCGCUCUAUUAGUUAGUUGGCGGGGUAAAGGCCACCAAGGCGAUGAUAGAUAGGCGGCCUUAACGGGUGGUCGCCCACACUGGGAUUGAGAUACGGCCCAGACUCCUACGGGAGGCAGCAGUCGAGAAUAGUCUACAAUGGCCGAAAGGCUGAUAGUGCGACGCCGCGUGAACGAAGAAGCCCUUCGGGGUGUAAAGUUCUUUUAUAUGUGAGCAGUGCUUCUUAUAUUAACAGUAUGGGGAGAGCGAUAUUAGCAUAUGAAUAAGCAACGGCUAACUCCGUGCCAGCA
rnacentral:rRNA from 1 species